rnacentral:rRNA from 1 species
UACGGGGGGGGUAAGCGUUGUUCGGAAUUACUGGGCGUAAAGGGCUCAUAGGCGGCCAACUAAGUCAGACGUGAAAUCCCUCAGCUUAACCGGGGAACUGCGUCUGAUACUGGAUGGCUUGAGUUUGGGAGAGGGACGCGGAAUUCCAGGUGUAGCGGUGAAAUGCGUAGAUAUCUGGAGGAACACCGGUGGCGAAGGCGGCGUCCUGGACCAACACUGACACUGAUGAGCGAAAGCCAGGGGAGCAAACGGG